rnacentral:lncRNA from 1 species
GUCUGACAACCAGCUCUGUUGUGUUUGCUUAAAGAAACUGUUUAUCUUGGUCAUUAUCAUUUUGUGGGGCCACUAAGGAGUGGGAACAGCUCAAGAAACGACUUCACUGUGUCCUUCAGGCCCUGGGUGGAUGUUUUGAGAACCUCCAGAGUCAGGGGAUGACCAGUACAAGACUCAAGAAGCCAACAGGACAGGUGGAGGCGCAGAUGAUGAAGAACAGUCUUGGAGUGGAUACCUUGGCUUUUCCCACACUUCCUUUAGCCAGGCAGAAGUCCUGACUGUAUCUUAAAGCUGUAAGUCAUCGUCUAUACCUUGGGUCACUGUCUAAGAUAUUUUCAUAAAGCAGAUAUAUUGUGUUGUUGUUUUACUUUUUAAUUCUGAUUAUUCGACCUAACUGAUUACUCCUUAAGUCCAGAGAUGAAGAUCUUUUUAAGCAAAACUAACUGACCCACACGAGUUGGAAAGGAAUUCUCGUGCCUACAUAUAUACUCUCUUUGAUCAACACCACCAGGCCUGCAGUUACACAGGCAUGUUACACAAAUUGUGCAUAUGAAGGGGUUUAUCCAUUGCUUGAUAUCUAGAGAAGCACAGGGCCUGAGACUAUAGAAAAGUCCUGACAAAGAGGAAGGAGGAACUAUGCUUGCCUGUGGAAAACAGGGAAGCUAACANCUUUUGUCUUUUGUCUUUUUUAGGGCUGCUCCUGUGGCAUAUGGAAGUUCCCAGGCUAGGCAUUAAAUCGGAGCUGUAGCUGCUGGCCUAUGCCAGAGCCAGAGCAACGCUAGAUCCGAGCCACGUCUGCGACCUACACCACAGCUCACAGCAACGCCGGAUCUUUAACCCACUGAGCGAGGCCAGGGAUCAAACUUGCAACCUUGUGGUUCCUAGUCGGAUUUGUUAACCACUGGGCCAUGAUGGGAACUCCUAACAUAAGUUUGGAGUUGAGCCUUGUUGAAUGGCUAGGGUGUGUGUGUGUCCCUAUCCACCAUAUCCAUCUACAGAGAAAAAUAUCUUCAUGAAAGUGUGAAUAGCACACUCUCUGGAGGCAGUGAGGCUUGGAACAAGAUAAAGUAAAUAAGUUUUUUUAAAAAGUGUCUAAAUACCUCAUGAGAAAAAGAGAUUCUACCAACUAAACUGAAAAUAGAGACACUUAAUUAUUAGCAAUGGAGGAAAGAGGGGAGAAAGAAAGCCUCCAUUAUAAACUAAGAGAAUCAGAAUAUUGUUUUCAGUCAGAAGCUUGAGAUGUUUCCGAGUUUUCCUUUUA